GCUGAUGACGUUUCACUUGGACAGACAACCACGCAUUGUUGUAUAUAUUUUUGCGUGUGUUAUUAUUAUUUUAUUAUUAUGAAAUUCGUGAACAUUAUUAUUGAGCCUUGGCAGUCUAUUUUGUAUUUGUUUUAUUGAGGAGAAAAAAAACAGACAAGAACGCAUAUUGUGUUGCGCCUGCGCUGUGACGUUCUUUUUUCAACCGCAUUUCCAGUCGAGAGGUCAAGAAUGCUCCUGUCUGCAUCAGGUAAGAAUUUAAAUAAAAAAUUACCGUUAUAAUAUGAUAUCUAUUUUUCAUUUAGUGUAAUAAACUUUAGCAUUAAUUGUGCAGGAGACUGUUCAUUUAAACUUUAUUGUGGUAACGUUAAAUGCUCGCUCGUUUUGCAAAGUUACGUUUGGAGAUUCAUGUUAACAGUCAUUGUUUAAUGAAAGGCACAUUGGACUACGGGUUAGUAUGUGUGACACUUGCAGCACUUUAACGUAAAUCUUUAACACCGUGUCCUAAAUAGACGUGACACGCGGUAACGGGUUUCUUUUCAGUUUAUGUCCUGACGUUAAUAGGACGGGAUAUUAUAAAUUAUGCCUUUCGAUUAUCGCGACGCCUCGUCGCGUUUGGUUAAGCACAUGGUGGAUCAGUAUGCACGUCACUGUACCUACUGUACACCUGUGAGCGGCAUGACGAGACAAAAGACGGUAAAACUCAUUAUUAUUCGGUGAUGCUGUAACAUACUGGAUGCACCACCACAUUUUAUAAUAAUGUUUUUUAUUUUCGUGUCGCGCCCUCGCGUUCAACAUAACGUAGUGGUCUAAAUGUAAGGAGUCAAACUUUACGAACCUUUCACUGCUUGCAGUAAGGCUGAAGUGCUAGGUAGUGAAUAAAAUGGGUGUAGUCUUGUGCUACUAGAUGUAAAUCACAAUUCUUGUGUCAAUGUUUGUUUGUAAUCUUUUUCAGCUAUCCAUCUGAAAAAGAAAAGCUGGCACUCGCAAAGGAGAUUGUGUUGUUGGAUUAUGGUCUCAUUUGGUCAAAAUGAGGGACAUGUACUUGGAUUUAUAAAAAUGAGACUACAGAAUAUCAGACGGAAGCUUCAAUGGAGUUGACGUGAGAGGCAAGGCCGCCUUAAUGCACGGGCUUACCUGGGCUGAAGCCCAUGGGGCCUCCCAAGUUCAAGGGCCUCCAAAGUUUGCGUUCAUGACGAGCUGAAAAUGUCAUUUUGUUUUGUAACUUGUCGGGUUUUCUGUCAAUCACUCUAAUUGCACGUUACAUGGCUGCUGAUUGGUCCGUUGUAACUUAACGUGAAAUAAAAUGUCAGACGUAACAUAUUUUUUAUUCCGCGUAAUGUAAUUAAGUGCGCGUUGUCAACUUGACAUUCCUGCACGUUAGACUGAGUGUGACAGAGAAACGGGAAAUAAUCCACCAACAAAUGAAAGAGUAAUUUCUGAAAUUUCAUAAUGAGCACUAGUGAGGUGCAGGUCUCUCUCUCUUUCGUGCGCGCGCUCGCUCGUUCGCUCUCUCUGUGCUCCUGCAGCUGUCUGAGUCUCUGGCAUGCAGAAGUCUCUCCCACCGUGCACAAGAAACUGUGCCGCUAAAUUAAGAAAGGAGUUCCCGCACAUAAUGCUGUUAGUUGUUAUAACGUUUAAGUUUACUCGCGUUUAUAUCAGUGACGCGUGCGCAGCUGGAGCGAUGUAGUUUGACGCGACGUCAGCUCACAGUACACACAUCUGUUGGUAGAAAGACGAGAAAGAGACGCAACGGUGAAGGUGCAAGUCUAAGAAAGUAAAGAGCGACAAAACCAUCUCAAAUGAUCAUCCCCUGAUAGCACCAUUAUAAUCUCAUUAUCUAAAGAUCUUAUAUACAGGUAUGUUCCCUGUCUGUCUUGUGCAUAUUCAUACUUGGUCGUUUUACAUGCUUAUGUAUGCAUAAAUACUAAAUACAAUGCAUACUAUAUCUUCAGUA